AAGUCGUAACAAGGUAACCGUAGGUGAACCUGCGGUUGGAUCAUUACAGAAAAUAUGAUAUUUUUUUUGCUUGUAAGAACAAAUCCGUUUGUUUUUGCAGGCAAAAAGAAAACAAAUCAUAAAUUCAACACCCAACCUGUGAACUGUUUACUGUACUUGUUUGGCAGCCCACCUCAAACAUUUAUGUUUGGCAAGGAGGAGGAUUGGGCAAGAAACAAAAUUUUUUUUUUAAAGUAUUGUUUCUCGCCCGCCCCCUCUGGGGCUGUCGAACGCAAAAUUUAAACAAACUCGUUAUGCGUAUCUUUAUUAGUCUACUUUUUUUUUAAUACAAAAAAAAACUUAUUAAAAGAAAAACAACUUUUGACAACGGAUCUCUUGGCUCUC
rnacentral:misc_RNA from 1 species